AAUUAUUUUUGCUACUCUUCGGACUCCAAACUCAUCACAUCUCACAGACCUUCCUUUUCCUUGAACGCGCAGCCACACAACACAACCCACAUCUCAGACUCUCAUUUUCCUUUGAACAACUACAACCUCCACUGCUUCAAUCAAACACAUUUUGCACAUCUGAGAAACAUGUUCAUCCAUCGUCGGCGUCGCACAUCUCAGAAAACUGAUGCCUGGAUUAAUGAUACUUGGAUAUAAGUGUGGUGUGGUUGCAAUUUGUUGGUGAUUAUGGAUGAAGCUAACUCAGUGCCAAUGAUGAAAUGCAGAGAUCAAAUGCUAUUGCACCUGUGCACAUUUUCACUGAUUGAUUCUCUAUUGAUGCACAACCUUGCAGUUAUGUAUCGGACAGACCAGCAUACUACAUCAGAAAAAGACUUCAGUCAUGUGCCACAAAAUCUGUUUUAAUAUGUUUCUUGCUUUUAAUUUGUUUUGAUGGAAAUUAGGACCUUUAGAAUGGGGACAUACCACUUUAGAAUGUUUGUUUUGAUGGAAAUUAUGAAUUAUUUAAUUUCUUUUUUAUUAUUUAAUUAUUAUGAUUUUGAUUGCUGAACUAUUAAAUUUGUGAUGAUCUAAUUGAUGAAAUUAACUCUAGAUGCCUGGAUUAAUGAUACUUGGAUAUAAGUGUGGUGUGGUUGCAAUUUGUUGGUGAUUAUGGAUGAAGCUAACUCAGUGCCAACGAUGAAAUGCAGAGAUCAAAUGCUAUUGCACCUGUGCA